rnacentral:rRNA from 1 species
UGGUAGAGGAGCAUUGUUAGCGCAGCGAAGCUGUACCGAUAAGGAGCAGUGGAGUGCUAAGAAGAGAGAAUGCCGGAAUGAGUAGCGAGAGGAAGGUGAGAAUCCUUCCGGCCGAAUAUCCAAGGUUUCCAGAGUAAAGCUGAUCUGCUCUGGGUAAGUCGGGGCCUAAGGCGAGGUCGAAAGACGUAGUCGAUGGAUAACAGGUGGAGAUUCCUGUACUAUGUGUACCCAGAACUGUGGGGACGCAUGUGGAGAGCAUGAGCCGGGAAAGAGAAAACCGGUACAAGCGGGGUAGGAGUAAGGACAGCAAAUCUUCCUUACAAUCCGAAGACGUGAUGUGGACCGAACCAAAGUAGGGAAGCGUGUGAGCCAUGUGCCAAGAAAAGCCGCUAUUGUGAUACACAUACCCGUACCGUAAACCGACACAGGUGGAUGAGGAGAGAAUCCUAAGGCCGACGGAAGAAGCAUUGUUAAGGAACUCGGCAAAAUGACCCCGUAACUUCGGGAGAAGGGGUGCCCUGUGAAAGCAGGGCCGCAGAGAAUAGGCUCAAGCAACUGUUUAGCAAAAACACAGGUCUAUGCGAAACCGAAAGGUGAGGUAUAUGGGCUGACGCCUGCCCGGUGCUGGAAGGUUAAGAGGAGAAGUCAGGCAACGAAGCUUCGAAUUUAAGCCCCAGUAAACGGCGGCCGUAACUAUAACGGUCCUAAGGUAGCGAAAUUCCUUGUCGGGUAAGUUCCGACCCGCACGAAAGGCGUAAUGAUUUGAGCACUGUCUCGACAAUGCAUCCGGUGAAAUUGAAGUACCAGUGAAGAUGCUGGUUACCUGCGCCAGGACGGAAAGACCCCAUGGAGCUUUACUCCAGCUUGAUACUGGGAUUCGAUACUGUAUGUACAGGAUAGGUGGGAGACGUUGAGCAUAGAACGCCAGUUUUAUGUGAGUCGCUGUUGGGAUACCACCCUUGCAGUAUUGGAUUUCUAACCUGCACCCAUGACCUGGGUGGGGGACAAUGUCUGGCGGGGAGUUUGACUGGGGCGGUCGCCUCCGAAAGGGUAUCGGAGGCGCUCAAAGGUUCCCUCAGAAUGGUUGGAAACCAUUCGAAGAGUGCAAAGGCAGAAGGGAGCUUGACUGUGACACCGACGGGUGGAACAGGUACGAAAGUAGGACUUAGUGAUCCGGUGGUAUAAAGUGGGAUUGCCAUCGCUCAACGGAUAAAAGCUACCCUGGGGAUAACAGGCUUAUCACUCCCAAGAGUUCACAUCGACGGAGUGGUUUGGCACCUCGAUGUCGGCUCAUCGCAUCCUGGGGCUGUAGCAGGUCCCAAGGGUUGGGCUGUUCGCCCAUUAAAGCGGUACGCGAGCUGGGUUCAGAACGUCGUGAGACAGUUCGGUCCCUAUCCGGCGCAGGCGGAGGAUAUUUGAGAGGAGCUGUCCUUAGUACGAGAGGACCGGGAUGGACGGACCACUGGUGUAUCUGUUGGCUAUCGGAGCCAUGGCAGAGUAGCCAAGUCCGGCAGGGAUAAACGCUGAAGGCAUCUAAGCGUGAAGCCCCCCUCAAGAUGAGAUAUCCCUCAGAAAUGAGUAAGACCCCUUGAAGACUACGAGGUAGAUAGGAAUGAGGUGUAAGCACAGCAAUGUGUUCAGCUGACAUUUACUAAUCGGUCGAGGGCUUGACCAA